UAACUUGAUUGUUCUGAACAGGAAUCAAAACUGGAAGCAAACAUUGUGCCUAAAGAGGCCUGCAGUACAGCAAUAUUUAAAGAAACAGUACCCUACAUAAUGACUAAUGCAUGCUAAUGCAUGUACAACACAAGAACCACUCACAGGAAGGAUCUCGCACCCUUUCUCACAGGGUAUAUUCCAACCACCUACAAAGUGUUCUCAGGACACCGGGGACCAGAAACCAUGCCUUCUACAAAUUGGCUUGUUCACAAAACACAACACAGUGUCCUGCAUCUACAAAAGGAGGGAAGAACCACUAUGCUGCCAUCAAACCUUUGUAAUUCCUAAUUGGUGAAAGAGCAACUUGAAACCUUUCUAAUAUUGAUUGCCAAUGCCUUGGAGGCUGCUGUAAUUACACCAGGGAUUUUCAAGGCCCUUUGGGAUAUAAGAACAUGUAAAGCACAGAGAAUGCUUUGCCCCUGACCUCUUUUCCUUAUCUCUACUCCAAAUUUAGGUCAUAACAUAGUUGGGCCAUUGCUGUUUAAACAGAACACCCAGAAAGGCGUGCAAGCCAGGGCAAGAAGCAGCACUGAAUAUAAUCAGAGAGAGCUAAUUAUGAAAGAACCCGUUUCCAUCUCGAGAGGACUGAGCCAGAGAUUCUGCCAAGAUGCGUGUCCCUGCAGGAAG